AGGGCUUGACAUCCUACUAACGAGGUAGAGAUACGUUAGGUGCCCUUCGGGGAAAGUAGAGACAGGUGGUGCAUGGUUGUCGUCAGCUCGUGUCGUGAGAUGUUGGGUUAAGUCCCGCAACGAGCGCAACCCUUAUUGUUAGUUGCUACGCAAGAGCACUCUAGCGAGACUGCCGUUGACAAAACGGAGGAAGGUGGGGACGACGUCAAAUCAUCAUGCCCUUUAUGUCCUGGGCUACACACGUAAUACAAUGGCGGUCAACAGAGGGAUGCAAUACCGUGAGGUGGAGCGAACCCCUAAAAGCCGUCCCAGUUCAGAUCGCAGUCUGCAACCCGACUGCGUGAAGUCGGAAUCGCUAGUAAUCGCGGAUCAGCAUGCCGCGGUGAAUACGUUCCCGGGCC
rnacentral:rRNA from 1 species